GCGGGUGUGGCGGAAUGGCAGACGCGCAUGCCUUAGGAGCAUGUGUCCAAGUGACGUGGAGGUUCAAGUCCUCUCACCCGCACCA
rnacentral:tRNA from 1 species